rnacentral:rRNA from 1 species
UACGUAGGGGGCGAGCGUUGUCCGGAUUUAUUGGGCGUAAAGAGCUCGUAGGCGGUUCGAUAAGUCGGACGUGAAAUCUCCACGCUCAACGUGGAGGGGCCGUUCGAUACUGUCGUGACUCGAGUCCGGUAGGGGAGUGUGGAAUUCCCGGUGUAGCGGUGAAAUGCGCAGAUAUCAGGAGGAACACCCGUAGCGAAGGCGGCACUCUGGGCCGGAACUGACGCUGAGGAGCGAAAGCGUGGGAGCAAACAGGAUAGAU